GCUUGUCUCAAAGAUUAAGCCAUGCAUGUCUAAGUACAAGCCUCAGUAAGGUGAAACCGCGAAUGGCUCAUUAAAUCACACCUAAUCUACUGGAAAGUUACUAGUUACUUGGAUAACUGAGGUAAUUCUUGAGCUAAUACAUGCGAAAAAUCUCGACUCACGGAGAGAUGCUUUUAUUAGAUCAAAACCAAACGGCUUCGGCCGUCUCAUUGGUGACUCUGAAUAACUUUGGGCUGAUCGUAUGGCCUUGUGCCGACGACGUUUCCUUCGAGUGUCUGCUCUAUCAACUGUCGAUGGUAGGUUAUAUGCCUACCAUGGUUGUAACGGGUAACGGGGAGUUAGGGCUCGACUCCGGAGAGCAGGCCUGAGAAACGGCCAGCACAUCUAAGGAAGGCAGCAGG
rnacentral:rRNA from 1 species